UGAACACAUAUUGCACAAGCAUUGAUAAUAUGUUCACAAACAUGCAUAUAUUGAUCAUAAGUUCAAAAACAGGACAGUCUUGACAAAGCAAAGUUUGGCCAUUUGGACCACCAUCCAGAAAACAGAAGCCACAUAAAAGGACCACUAUUUGUUGUUCUAAAGGAGUUCAAACACUAAAUGGUCCAGAAUAAAGUCACACCCAUGAGCACAAGAUAUAUGCCCGAAAACACUUGGAAGCACCAAAUGGUCCAGAACAGACAUAAGAUUCAUGAUCACAAGUUAGCUGGUCCAAAAUACCGCAAACAGCCAAAUGCUGCUGAACACUCCGAAGUCAUCACAUCCAUGCACAGUAGAUGGUUGAGUACCUGAAAAUGAAUGGUCAAAUUCUCGUAUGUUCACCCCAACGAUUUUGUGCACUUCAAAGUUUGAAAAUAAAUGUAAAAAGCAAAUGUAGUCGUAUGUUGUCUAAUGACCUAGAAUUAAAAUGUAUAACUUCAGACCCAAAAAACUACAGUAUGUGAAGUUUUGUAUAUGCCAUGUGAUCUUUAGAUUGUGACCAUCAAAGUGUUAACACCAAACUGAUAAAUGUAUGCUAACUACUAAGCAAUCUAUAUGAGCAUCAGAUUACGUCAUCUGAUUUCAUAUUUUUAAUUUUAAAACUGCAGUAUGUGGAGUUCGUUUUUAUAUACAAAACACGAGAAGUUAUCUAGUGAUGCUAUAAUUUCACAAAUAGGUAUUACAAUUUCAGAUACACUGAAGUGUUAUGUGUGACACAUUUUCCUCGCUUGCCAUUUGGUUUAAUCUGACGUAUGAUGGUUAAUCCAUGUACUAGUGUUCUUAGUUCAAUAUUAUCUGAUCGAUAAACUAGCUAAAUGAUAGGAAAAUCAGUCUUGGAGCAUUUGUGUGUUCAUAAAAAAUGAAAAGGGUUCCAAGAGAACUAUGGAAAAUGGUUCAUGGGUUGUAAAUAUUAUGUGUAAAUCAAAUGAUAACAUACUCACAUCGCCUGUUUCUUAUGCAAACUAUUUCAUUUCAUAGGUUGCUUCUUCCACUGCACGUUGCUAUGAAAAGUGUGAAGACAUGUAUCAACCACCCUGUGAAGAUGAAAACUAUGUUUAAUAAUAUAUAUAACUUGGCUAAUCCUAAAUCAAAUUAGUAAGUAGGCCAAGGGACUUCAAGUUAUGUCCUUGGUAAGUUUAUUGUAUGAACUUUUCAAAUGCACAAAUGAUUUUCAGGUAAUAUCAGGCCAUCACCAGAAUAAACACGAAUAUCUCACAAAAGUACCAUGUACGGACGUUAUUAAGAUUUAAGUACUGCCUUAUUCUUGAACAAGAUCGUCAUUAUUAUGAUUGAACUUCUUAUAUCUUCCUACUGCUUACAAUCAGAAUGGGGUUGAUAGGCUAUAAUUAGUUAUAAAUAUGCUCAAACCAAAAAUUAGCCAUCUUUCCCAUUUUAAGCAGACAUGUUAGCAAUAGUACCUUGGCCUGAUAGUGAUCGAGACACCAGACACAAACCUUGUUGUUUUGGUACCUGCCAGCACCACCACCAACAACAGCAUACCCAUUAGGUCCACAGUUCAUAUUAAAUGGCACAUGUGGAAUCAUAUACCCAACAGAAACAGCAGCAAGGUAACUAGGGAAAUCAAGGC
rnacentral:lncRNA from 1 species